rnacentral:lncRNA from 1 species
GGCCAAAACAUCUUUAUGCUAUGCAUGACCUUGCCUCCACCAGCAGAUAGAUCCAAAUCAAAAUCAGAGCCCGAUAGACUACUAUCAAAUAUGAUAUGCUUAAUAUUUGACUUUCUGGAUGUACUGAGAAGUGAGUGAAAGUGGAAAUUAGCCAGGUCGUGUCUGAGAGUAGCCCAGGAUGCUGACAUUAACAUAAAAGAGCUUAGCCGGCAUUUACUGACACCCACCACUGGGAGAAAUUAACCUCAGGACUUAAAGGUCAAGUGUGCUAGUGAUAAAGCAGCAAAUGGAGUAUAGCUUUCGACACUGGGUUUAUCUGGAGAAUGAUAAUCCUGCAAACUUGAGACUGAAACUUACAACAUGGGAGCCGACACCAUCUGUAGAUUAAAAGCAUCAUGUCUUUUGCAAGACAGUAUCAUCCACAGCUAUGCUUUUAGAGUUCGCUUUAUAGCUUCUGCUACUGCUGGGAGAUGCUUUUGGAUACACACAGGAUAUAUAACAUCCAUGUUCCCUUCUACACCCAGGCAUUUAGAUCCUGCACUACAGAUCCCACGAAGGAACAGUGUCUGGGGUGCAGAUGGUGCUGCUCAUACACAGACAGAAUUGGGCCAACAAAACACUUAUACCAAACUGCGUAUUGAGCAAAGGACUUCCAGGGAUAGAUACAAAAUUCACUAACACACAGGAUUUGAGCCAGAAUAGGCUAUUUCAGAUCCAGGAAAUACAGGGAAUGACUGCAACCCUUUCAGCAUCUAAAACCUGAAAUCCAAUUUAUGUAUUUUGAGUUUGCAGUUUGGUUUUGUUUCUACUGUGUGUGCACUUCAUUCAUAUGAGUAUUCCACUCCUUUAUUGAGUGGGUAUUUUGUAUAUGUCUGUAUGUACAAAUAAAA